GGGCGAGGCUCAGCCAUUGCACUCCGGCUGUGCUGACCCCUGCGAAUUUCCCAAAUGUGGAAAUCUCGAUUGCAUAAUUUCUGGUAGUGGGGACUGCGUUCGCGCUCUCCCCU
rnacentral:snRNA from 8 species